GAUGAACGCUGGCGGCGUGCUUAACACAUGCAAGUCGAACGAAGCAGAUGAGAAAGCUUGCUUUUUUAUUUCGCUUAGUGGCGGACGGGUGAGUAACGCGUGAGUAACCUGCCCUUCAGUGGGGAAUAACAUCGAGAAAUCGGUGCUAAUACCGCAUAACGUAUUUAUGUCGCAUGACAUUUAUACCAAAGGAUUUAUUCGCUGAAGGAUGGACUCGCGUCCGAUUAGAUAGUUGGUGAGAUAAUGGCCCACCAAGUCAACGAUCGGUAGCCGAACUGAGAGGUUGAUCGGCCACAUUGGGACUGAGACACGGCCCAGACUCCUACGGGAGGCAGCAGUGGGGAAUAUUGGGCAAUGGGCGAAAGGCCUGACCCAGCAACGCCGCGUGAAGGAUGAAGGUCUUCGGAUUGUAAACUUCUUUGAUUAGGGAAGAAUUUUUGACCUACCUAAGAACAAGUCACGGCUAACUACGUGCCAGCAGCCGCGGUAAUCUAGUCUACGC
rnacentral:rRNA from 1 species